UACGGAGGGGGCUAGCGUUGUUCGGAAUUACUGGGCGUAAAGCGCGCGUAGGCGGACCUGCAAGUCGGGGGUGAAAGCCCGAGGCUCAACCUCGGAACUGCCUUCGAUACUGCGGGUCUCGAGUCCGGGAGAGGUGAGUGGAAUUCCUAGUGUAGAGGUGAAAUUCGUAGAUAUUAGGAAGAACACCAGUGGGCGAAGGCGGCUCACUG
rnacentral:rRNA from 1 species